AAGGUUUCCGUAGGUGAACCUGCGGAAGGAUCAUUAUUGAAUAAACCUGAUGUGGUUGUAGCUGGCCCUUUUGGGGGCAUGUGCUCGCCCAUCAUAUUUAUCUUUCCACCUGUGCACUUUUUGUAGACCUGGAUCUAGUUUCCGAGGCCACUCGGUCGUGAGGACUGCCUUUAUGGGCUUUUCUUGAAUGGUUCAGGCCUAUGUUUUCACAUACUCCAAAGAAUGUAACAGAAUGUAAAAUUGGGCCUAGUGCCUAUAAACUAUAUACAACUUUCAGCAACGGAUCUCUUGGCUCUCGCAUCGAUGAAGAACGCAGCGAAAUGCGAUAAGUAAUGUGAAUUGCAGAAUUCAGUGAAUCAUCGAAUCUUUGAACGCACCUUGCGCUCCUUGGUAUUCCGAGGAGCAUGCCUGUUUGAGUGUCAUUAAAUUCUCAACCUUAUCAGCUUUUGUUGAUAAAGGCUUGGAUGUGGGGGCCUUUUUGCUGGCUUCAUUAAUGAGGUCUGCUCCCCUUAAAUGCAUUAGCUGGUGCCCCGUGUGGACCGUCUAUUGGUGUGAUAACUAUCUAUGCCGUGGGCGUCUACUUUGAAUGGGAUGUGCUGCUUCAAACUGUCCUUGG
rnacentral:rRNA from 1 species